AACGAACGCUGGCGGCAUGCCUAACACAUGCAAGUCGAACGCCCCGCCAGGGUAGCGGCGGACGGGUGUGUAACGCGUGGGAAUAUGCACUUUUCUACGGAAUCGUCCCGGGAAACUGGGGGUAAUACCUUAUACGCCUAUCGGGUAAAAGAUUUAUCGGCGAAGGAUUAGUCGGCGAUGGAUUAGGUUGUUGGUGGGGUAAUGGCCUACUACGCCGAGGAUCCAUAGCUGGUGUGAGAGCAUGAUCAGCGACACUGAGACUGGGACACGGCCCAGACUCGUAGGGGAGGCGGGAAAGGGUGAUCUAGGACAGUGGGGGCGAUGCAGAACUGGCCCGGGCGGGAGAGUGGUGAAGGCCUUAGAGAUGUAAAGCUCUUUCAGCUGGGAAGUUGAUGACGGUACCAGCAGAAGAAGCACCGGCUAACUCCGUG
rnacentral:rRNA from 1 species